GUAGCGCUUCGUUCGGCGAGGCUCCUGCGUGAACACAGUCCGCUCAUCCCACGACGUCGAGAGACGCCCAGGCUGAGGACAGGCCUUCCCGGCUUAAGGGUCGGCCCCAAGCGGAUUCCGAACUCUUCGGAUACGUCACGCAGUGCCAAAGCUCUGACGUGGGGGUGUUUG
rfam:Leucobacter sp. Ag1 JX03_contig_66, whole genome shotgun sequence.